rnacentral:rRNA from 2 species
UACGUAGGGGGCUAGCGUUGUCCGGAAUCAUUGGGCGUAAAGCGCGCGUAGGCGGCCAGAUAAGUCCGGUGUGAAAGUCACAGGCUCAACCUGUGAAUGCCGCUGGAAACUGUCUGGCUAGAGUCCGGAAGGGGCGAGUGGAAUUCCUGGUGUAGCGGUGAAAUGCGCAGAUAUCAGGAGGAACACCAAUGGCGAAGGCAGCUCGCUGGAACGGUACUGACGCUGAGGCGCGAAAGCGUGGGGAGCGAACAGG